AUAUAAAAAGUUAUUAAUAAUUUUAGAUUAAGUAUUUAUAAAAUAAGAAUAUUAUAGAUUAAUUAUUAUGUUAAGAAAAAUUAAUUUUAAUUAUAGUUUAUUAGUAUAGUGAUAGAAUUUUUUAAAAUAUUAAAAAGAAAAAAUUAUUUUUUGUAUCUUGUGUAUCAGAGUUAAUUUAUUAAAAAUUAAAAAUUUAAUAUUCUCGAAUUUAAAAGAGUUAAUAGUUUAUAUUUUUUAUUGUAAAAUAAAUAUUAAUAAUAAAUUAUUAGAAAUGAAAUGUUAUUCGAUUUUAAAUAUAUCUAGUUUUUAAAGAAAAAAUUUUAAAUUAUUUAUUUAAUAUUAAAAAUUUAAUUUUUAAAUUUUUUAAUUUAAAUAAAUUAUAUUUUUAGGGAUGAGCUUAAAAAUAAAUUAUUAUAAAUAUUUAAGAAUUUUAAUUUGUAGGAUUAGAAAUUUCUUUCAUUAAAAAAUUGUUAUAAUUUAUUAUAUUAUUUUUAUUAUUUUUAUUUAUUUUAAUUUUUUUAUUUAAAUUUUAAUUUUAAUUUUAAAAAUUUAAUAAUAAUGAUUAAAUUAGUAAAUUUUAAUGUUUAAUUUAUGAUUAAAUAAAGAUUUUAAAUUAAGGAAUUCGGCAAAUAUAAUUUUCACCUGUUUAUUAAAAACAUGGCCUUUAGAUGAUAAUUUAAGGUCUGACCUGCCCACUGAUUAAUUAAAGGGCCGCAGUAUUUUGACUGUGCUAAGGUAGCAUAAUCAUUAGUUUCUUAAUUAGAAGCUGGAAUGAAUGGUUAAAUGAAAAAUUAGCUGUCUCAAUUUAAUUAAAUGAAUUUUAUUUUUAAGUGAAAAAGCUUAAAUAAAUAAAUAAGACGAGAAGACCCUAUAGAGUUUAAUAUUUAUAGAGAAAAAAUAUUUUUGGGAAUUAUAGAUUUUUUUUUAUAUUUAUUUAAUUGGGGUGAUUUAAAAAUUUAAUAAACUUUUUAAUAAUUAAAACAAAAAUUUUUGAAUUUUUGAUCCAUAAUUUAUGAUUAAUAGAGAAAUUACCUUAGGGAUAACAGCGUUAUUUUUUUUGAGAGUUCUAAUCGAAAGAAAAGUUUGCGACCUCGAUGUUGGAUUAAAAUUUAAUUUUGGCGUAGAAGUUAAAAAUUUAGGUCUGUUCGACCUUUAAAAUUUUACAUGAUCUGAGUUUAAACCGGUGUGAGCCAGGUUGGUUUCUAUCUUUUUAUAAAUAAAAUAUUUUAGUACGAAAGGACCAAAUAUUUAAUUUAAAAUUUUAAAUAGAAUAAAAUU
rnacentral:rRNA from 1 species